GAUGAAGAACGUAGCGAAAUGCGAUACGUAAUGUGAAUUGCAGAAUUCAGUGAAUCAUCGAGUCUUUGAACGCACAUUGCGCCCCCUGGUAUUCCGGGGGGCAUGCCUGUCCGAGCGUCAUUGCUGCCCUCAAGCACGGCUUGUGUGUUGGGCCUCCGCCCUCCUCCCGGGGGACGGGCCCGAAAGGCAGCGGCGGCACCGCGUCCGGUCCUCGAGCGUAUGGGGCUUCGUCACCCGCUCUUGUAGGCCCGGCCGGCGCUUGCCGACACAUCAAUCUUUUUUCCAGGUUGACCUCGGAUCAGGUAGGGAUACCCGCUGAACUUAAGCAUAUCAAUAAGCGGAGGA
rnacentral:misc_RNA from 1 species